CCUACGGGAGGCAGCAGUGAGGAAUAUUGGUCAAUGGGCGAGAGCCUGAACCAGCCAAGUCGCGUGAAGGAUGACGGCCCUACGGGUUGUAAACUUCUUUUGUCAGGGAGCAAUUGAGUCCACGUGUGGUCUUAGCGAGAGUACCUGAAGAAAAAGCAUCGGCUAACUCCGUGCCAGCAGCCGCGGUAAUACGGAGGAUGCGAGCGUUAUCCGGAUUUACUGGGUGUAAAGGGAGCGUAGACGGCCAUGCAAGUCUGAUGUGAAAACCCGGGGCUCAACCCCGGGACUGCAUUGGAAACUGUGCGGCUGGAGUGUCGGAGAGGCAAGUGGAAUUCCUAGUGUAGCGGUGAAAUGCGUAGAUAUUAGGAGGAACACCAGUGGCGAAGGCGGCUUGCUGGACGACGACUGACGUUGAGGCUCGAAAGCGUGGGGAGCAAACAGGAUUAGAUACCCCUGUAGUC
rnacentral:rRNA from 1 species